AGUAUCUGUGGAUUAAAGGUGGCUUUUGGGCUGUCGCAGAUGGAUGAGCCUGCGUUGGAUUAGCUAGUUGGUGGAGUAAGGGCCUACCAAGGCUACGAUCCAUAGCUGAUUUGAGAGAAUGAUCAGCCACAUUGGGACUGAGACACGGCCCAAACUCCUACGGGAGGCAGCAGUGAGGAAUAUUGGACAAUGGGGGCAACCCUGAUCCAGCAAWGCCAUGUGUGUGAAGAAGGCCUUAGGGUUGUAAAGGACUUUAGUUGGGGAAGAAAGCUUUGAGGUUACCUUGAGGAAGGACGUUACCCAAAGAAUAACCACCGGCUAACUCCGUGCCGACAGCCGCGGUAAUACGGGGGGUGCAAGCGUUAAUCGGAAUUACUAGGUGGUUUGUUAAGUCAGAUGUGAAAGCCCAAGGCUCAACCUUGGAACUGCAUUUGAUACUGGCAAACUAGAGUACGGUARAGGAAUGGGGAAUUUCUGGUGUAGCGGUGAAAUGCGUAGAGAUCAGAAGGAACACCAAUGGCGAAGGCAACAUUCUGGACCGAUACUGACACUGAGGGACGAAAGCGUGGGGAUCAAACAGGAUUAGAUACCCUGGUAGUCCACGCUGUAAACGAUGAGUACUAGCUGUUGGAGUCGGUGUAAAGGCUCUAGUGGCGCAGCUAACGCGAUAAGUACUCCGCCUGGGGACUACGGCCGCAAGGCUAAAACUCAAAGGAAUUGACGGGGACCCGCACMAGCGGUGGAGCAUGUGGUUUAAUUCGAUGCAACGCGAAGAACCUUACCUGGUCUUGACAUCCUGCGAUCUUUCUAGAGAUAGAUUGGUGCCUUCGGGAACGCAGUGACAGGUGCUGCACGGCUGUCGUCAGCUCGUGUUGUGAAAUGUUGGGUUAAGUCCCGCAACGAGCGCAACCCCUAUUGAUAGUUACCAUCAAUAAGUUGGGUACUCUAUUGAGACUGCCGCUGACAAGGCGGAGGAAGGUGGGGACGACGUCAAGUCAUCAUGGCCCUUACGACCAGGGCUACACACGUGCUACAAUGGGUAUUACAGAGGGCUGCCAAGGAGCGAUCUGGAGCGAAACUCAAAAAGGUACUCUUAGUCCGGAUUGCAGUCUGCAACUCGACUGCAUGAAGUCGGAAUCGCUAGUAAUCGCAGGUCAGAAUACUGCGGUGAAUACGUUCCCGGGUCUUGUACACACCGCCCGUCACACCAUG
rnacentral:rRNA from 1 species